rnacentral:pre_miRNA from 1 species
GAUGUACUCCCUCCGUCCAGAAUUACUUGUCAUCAAAAUGGAUGAAAAUAGAUGUAUCUAAAACUAAAAUACAUCUAGAUACAUCCAUUUCAAUGACAAGUAUUUCCGGACGGAGGGAGUAACUA